CAAGCUUUAUGACUCCAUAGCAAGGGAAGAAGAAAAACAUUUUUCUCUCAUCCUUUCUAAGUCGUACAAGUAUACCCCCUCCAUACCCAUUUCUGGUUUUGACUCAAAGCUUGGAACUAAAGCUUGAUUUCAUCUUCCAAUCGGUGAAAUCUUGAAGUUUAACAUAGUGCCAUCAUUUCAUUCAUCAUCUACACGGCUAUUCCACUAUUCGGUCCUCCACUUGUGUUUUGAAAGGGGCUAAGAGCUUAAGGACCUAUAUUGACGUUGGAAGUAUCAAGGAGCAUAGAGGUAAUGACGAAGAGACUGGGGAGCAAUGCAUUACUGCAGAGGGAGAGGCUGACGCUUAGUGUCUUCCUUGUUGGUUCGACCUUGUAUGGAUGAUGGGUUAUGUUUAUGGAUGUUGUUUUUAUAUUGGGAUGGAGUCUCUUCUUAACUAGAACAGUUAUGUUUUUAUGAACGUUUGAUGGAC